rnacentral:rRNA from 1 species
GCUUAACACAUGCAAGUCGAGGGGCAGCAUUUCAGUUUGCUUGCAAACUGGAGAUGGCGACCGGCGCACGGGUGAGUAACACGUAUCCAACCUGCCGAUAACUCGGGGAUAGCCUUUCUAAAGAAAGAUUAAUACCCGAUGGUAUAAUCAGACCGCAUGGUCUUGUUAUUAAAGAAUUUCGGUUAUCGAUGGGGAUGCGUUCCAUUAGGCAGUUGGUGAGGUAACGGCUCACCAAACCUUCGAUGGAUAGGGGUUCUGAGAGGAAGGUCCCCCACAUUGGAACUGAGACACGGUCCAAACUCCUACGGGAGGCAGCAGUGAGGAAUAUUGGGCAAUGGGCGCAGGCCUGAACCAGCCAAGUAGCGUGAAGGAUGACUGCCCUAUGGGUUGUAAACUUCUUUUAUAUGGGAAUAAAGUUUUCCACGUGUGGAAUUUUGUAUGUACCAUAUGAAUAAGGAUCGGCUAACUCCGUGCCAGCAACCGCGGGAAUACGGAGGAUCCGAGCGUUAUCCGGAUUUAUUGGGUUUAAAGGGAGCGUAUGUGGACAGUUAAGUCAGUUGUGAAAGUUUGCGGCUCAACCGUAAAAUUGCAGUUGAUACUGGCUGUCUUGAGUACAGUAGAGGUGGGCGGAAUUCGUGGUGUAGCGGUGAAAUGCUUAGAUAUCACGAAGAACUCCGAUUGCGAAGGCAGCUCACUGGACUGCAACUGACACUGAUGCUCGAAAGUGUGGGUAUCAAACAGGAUUAGAUGCCCUGGUAGUCCACACAGUAAACGAUGAAUACUCGCUGUUUGCGAUAUACAGUAAGCGGCCAAGCGAAAGCAUUAAGUAUUCCACCUGGGGAGUACGCCGGCAACGGUGAAACUCAAAGGAAUUGACGGGGGCCCGCACAAGCGGAGGAACAUGUGGUUUAAUUCGAUGAUACGCGAGGAACCUUACCCGGGCUUAAAUUGCAUUUGAAUAUAUUGGAAACAGUAUAGCCGUAAGGCAAAUGUGAAGGUGCUGCAUGGUUGUCGUCAGCUCGUGCCGUGAGGUGUCGGCUUAAGUGCCAUAACGAGCGCAACCCUUAUCUUUAGUUACUAACAGGUCAUGCUGAGGACUCUAGAGAGACUGCCGUCGUAAGAUGUGAGGAAGGUGGGGAUGACGUCAAAUCAGCACGGCCCUUACGUCCGGGGCUACACACGUGUUACAAUGGGGGGUACAGAAGGCAGCUACCUGGUGACAGGAUGCUAAUCCCAAAAGCCUCUCUCAGUUCGGAUCGAAGUCUGCAACCCGACUUCGUGAAGCUGGAUUCGCUAGUAAUCGCGCAUCAGCCACGGCGCGGUGAAUACGUUCCCGGGCCUUGUACACACCGCCCGUCAAGCCAUGAAAGCCGGGGGUACCUGAAGUACGUAAACGCAAGGAGCGUCCUAGGGUAAAACUGGUAAUUGGGGC